UUUGUGACGCCCCCAAAAUAGGUCCAUUCCACCCAACCCAUUCUGAGUCGCAAAAUACAUGGUACAGAAAUAACUACAACUUUGACAAUACAGAUGUCGUGUAGAAUACGACAAUACAACUGUGAGUUUGAAUACAAAUAUUGUCUUCUAGACAAUAUACACACCCAAAUAAGUCUUCAUUAAUUAUUCAUACACUAUUUUACAGAAAUAAUGAGGACAGCUAAAACAUCUUCCUAGAACCAUCACUCCAUACCCCGACUCGAUCCUGCUAUGUUCUCACCUCCUGAGAAGAAAAAGGAACAACAAGGAAAAGGGUGAGCUCAACUAGCCCAGUAAAGAAUAUUAUGACUAAGAUAAUAUACAACAAAUUAUCGUUAGUCUUCAACAGGGAAAAAUCUAAUAGAAUACAAUAGACAACAAGUUUUAGAUCAACAAAUGCAGCGGAAACAGCAAUCCAUUAGAAGAGUCACGUAGAGAAAGAAUUCUACUGUCUUCUAAGGUUUAAAAGUCCAUCAUCAAUAGUUUAUCCCUGUAAUAACAAUCAAUAUACAUCUUUAAUCAUCUUUGCACUACAGGCCAAAGAUAUUCAUUUGUAUCACCAGUUGGUCAUGUUCAUCUCAACACCUGUUCAUCUUUGCACUACAGGCCAAAGAUAUUCAUCAGUUAAUCGUUCAUCUUUGCACUACAGGCCAAAGAUAUUCAUUUAUAUCACCAUUUAGGACUGAGGAUGAUGAAAAACAUUUUUAAAGAAACGAAUCCAGUGAAACAAAAUGACAAGGAUUAAGGAUUAAGGAUUCGUACUUUGUUUUACCCAUGUCCAAAAAUACUUCGAAAAUAAUCAUAUUGGUGUAAAAUUCAAGAAUGAUCAAAACAUGGAUACAAUCAAAGCUAGUAUCCAUAAUAGAUAUUUUGGACAAAAAGAAAAAAAAAUUUAUUUUUCGGUGAAUAGUGCCGUUUUCUUGAAUAGUGUCGUAUACGUGAAUAGUAACCCCGACACAACAAGUUCCAAAUUUGAUAAAAAAAGUUCACCAAUACUUCGGCAUAAUGAUAUUGAAGAAAAAAUAUCAUUUAAGAAGAAAAUAAUACCCCUUACCUCAAAAUAACCGUACUUCUGACUGAAUUUCGGUAUAGUGCUGACAGAAACCCGCACCGUAUAGCAACACUCAAAGUAUACUCACAAGAAUACGCUCGAUAAUUUAGAGAGAGAAAGAGAGAAAAC
rnacentral:lncRNA from 1 species